GAUGGCGAAGGCAGUGAUGGAGGCAUUUCCAGCAUUGUCACUCAUGUCCUUUGGGACAUCCAAGAAGGAGAUGGCUAAUGCGAGGACUAAGUUUGGACUUGGAUUACUCAGUGGUUCAGUGUUUGACAUGGACAACCACUGUGCAAUGUGCUCUGCCUCGAAGCCCCCAGGAUCAGGGCCUACAACUACUGAUGGAUAAUGUGUGACACAUGCCAGAGGUGGUACCAUUAGCAGUGUCUGGGGAUGAGUAAAGACCAACUCCUACAAGCAAGGGCAAGCAAGUGGGAUUGUGUCCUUUGCAAUUAGGACAUUUUAUUUUGUGGAGAGAUGUACAAAAAGAAAAAGUACCAAGUUCAUUGAAUAAAAAACUA